AGUGAACGCUGGCGGUAGGCCUAACACAUGCAAGUCGAACGGCAGCACAGUAAGAGCUUGCUCUUACGGGUGGCGAGUGGCGGACGGGUGAGGAAUACAUCGGAAUCUACUUUUUCGUGGGGGAUAACGUAGGGAAACUUACGCUAAUACCGCAUACGACCUACGGGUGAAAGCAGGGGAUCUUCUGACCUUGCGCGAUUGAAUGAGCCGAUGUCGGAUUAGCUAGUUGGCGGGGUAAAGGCCCACCAAGGCGACGAUCCGUAGCUGGUCUGAGAGGAUGAUCAGCCACACUGGAACUGAGACACGGUCCAGACCCCUACGGGAGGCAGCAGUGGGGAAUAUUGGACAAUGGGCGCAAGCCUGAUCCAGCCAUACCGCGUGGGUGAAGAAGGCCUUCGGGUUGUAAAGCCCUUUUGUUGGGAAAGAAAAGCAGCAGGUUAAUACCCCGCUGUUCUGACGGUACCCAAAGAAUAAGCACCGGCUAACUUCGUG
rnacentral:rRNA from 1 species